UGCUAACCCACUCAUUCCUGGGAUCAUUUUUGUAAACCUCCUCUGGACCCUCUCCAGAGCCAGCACAUCCUUCCCCAGAUAUGGGGCCCAAAUUUGCUCACAGUACUCCAAAUGCGGCCUGAUCAGCGCCUUAUUGAGCCUCAGCAAUACAUCUCUUUUUGUAAGUAGAAGCCC